GUGGAGGAAAGUCCGGGCUCCAAAGAGCAAAGCGCCAGGUAACGCCUGGGGGGUGAAAGCCCACGGAAAGUGCAGCAGAGAGUAGACCGCCUAAGCGCAUAGCGCCGGUAAGGGUGAAAGGGUGCGGUAAGAGCGCACCGCGCGACUGGUAACAGUUCGUGGCAUGGUAAACCCCGCUUGGAGCAAGGCCAAAUAGGGACCCUUCGGUGUGGCUCGCACUGGGUCCGGGUAGGCUGCUUGAGGUUGAUAGUGAUAUCAAUCCCAGAUGAAUGACUGUCCCAGACAGAACCCGGCUUAUCGGCCAGCUCGA
rnacentral:RNase_P_RNA from 1 species